AUGAAUCCAUUCUUGGUGAAUUCGGGUGGAGGAUGGUCGUUUUGAAGUCAAACCAAUUAGUGAAGUUCUUAAGGCCUCUUAAAUUCGCCUAAGUUUUGGUAGGUCUGUCUUCUGGGCGAUUUUCAUGAAAAUGUGUUGUGAAUUUGGAAACACUUCCUCAAUGAAAGUUGUAGAUAUUUGAAAUAGCUUUCCAACGGUAGGUCGCCCAGCCCAAACGGAGUUACGUACAAGAAGUUAUGUCCAUUUUACCGAACACUGUGCAGAACCGAUACCCGUCGCUUGUGCAGGCGCGUGGGGGCGCGUGCGAUGGCCCCGCAUCGCGGGCCGAUCGCGCAAGUCUGAGUAUUGAGCUGCAGAACAUUGCGCGAUGGUCCCGCAUCGCGGACCAAUCGCGAAUCGGCACCCCAUUCACGAAAAUUUACCCUAAAGUCAAUAAGAACAAGUCCCAAGCCUCAAGAACCAUACAAGGGUUUGCAACAUAAUUCUUUCCAAAGUAAUUCAAGCUAGGGUUUGGGUAUUCUUCAUUAGAAAAGUGAUUUGUUAAACCUUGUUUAACAAAUUAAGCUACUCGGGAGGAAGGGUAGCCACUAUGGAUCCUAGUGUG